ensembl:miRNA
GGUCUGAGGGAGGAGGGCUGGGUCUGAGGGAGGAGUCUGGGCUCCGAUGACCACUCCCUCCUUGGAG